CCUACGGGAGGCAGCAGUAAGGAAUAUUGGACAAUGGUCGCAAGACUGAUCCAGCCAUGCCGCGUGCAGGAUGACAGCCCUAUGGGUCGUAAACUGCUUUUGUGCGAGAAAAAACCCCCUCUACGUGUAGAGGGCUGAUUGUAUCGUAAGAAUAAGGAUCGGCUAACUCCGUGCCAGCAGCCGCGGUAAUACGGAGGAUCCAAGCGUUAUCCGGAUUCAUUGGGUUUAAAGGGUGCGUAGGCGGAAUGAUAAGUCAGUGGUGAAAGCCUGCAGCUUAACUGCAGAACUGCCAUUGAUACUGUCAAUCUUGAGUACAUUUGAUGUGGGCGGAAUGUGUCAUGUAGCGGUGAAAUGCUUAGAUAUGACACAGAACACCGAUUGCGAAGGCAGCUCACAAAACUGUAACUGACGCUGAGGCACGAAAGCGUGGGUAUCAAACAGGAUUAGAUACCCUGGUAGUCCACGCUGUAAACUAUGAUUACUCGAUGUUUGCGAUACACUGUAAGCGUCUAAGCGAAAGCGAUAGAAUCACCUGGGAGUACGCGCGNGAGAGAGAACGACAANAGAGUUGAGGCGUGAGAGUUGCGACGGACGAACACCGGAAGGGGAAGUAAGG
rnacentral:rRNA from 1 species